rnacentral:tRNA from 1 species
GCCUGGGUGGCUCAAUGGUUGAGUGCCUGGCUUCUGCCCAGGGCAAGAUCCUGGAGUUCUGGGAUCGAGUCCCACGUCAGGCU